rnacentral:rRNA from 1 species
GACAGAGGGUGCAAACGUUGUUCGGAAUUACUGGGCGUAAAGCGCACGUAGGCGGCUAUUCAAGUCAGAGGUGAAAGCCCGGGGCUCAACCCCGGAACUGCCUUUGAAACUAGAUAGCUUGAAUCACGGAGAGGUGGGUGGAAUUCCGAGUGUAGAGGUGAAAUUCGUAGAUAUUCGGAAGAACACCAGUGGCGGAAGGCGGCCCACUGGACGUGUAUUGGACGCUGAGGUGCGAAAGCGUGGGGAGCAAACAGG